AAAGAAGAUGUUGAUUACUGGUUUCGUCAUAUCAUCAGCACCGGUGGUUCUUCCGCCACUUGUGGUUCUCUCAGCACUUGGGUUUGCUGUUUCUGUCCCCUAUGGGCUUUUCUUAGCAAGCUAUGCUUGCACUGAGAAAAUUAUGAGUAAAUUACUUCCAAGUCCUACAACUCCUCCUCCUUUUGUGGAAGAUGGUCUAACAAGAUAUGGAGGAGAAGAUUUAGGGUUUGGAGGAAAUGUUGAAAUGGAAAAUGAGGAAGAAGUGCUAAAAACAAGGGGGGAGAUGAGGAAUGACCCAGAUGAGAAGAGAAAUGAGGAUGAAGUGAAUGUUU
rnacentral:misc_RNA from 1 species